GAUGAACGCUGGCGGCGUGCCUAAUACAUGCAAGUCGAGCGAACGGACGAGAAGCUUGCUUCUCUGAUGUUAGCGGCGGACGGGUGAGUAACACGUGGAUAACCUACCUAUAAGACUGGGAUAACUUCGGGAAACCGGAGCUAAUACCGGAUAAUAUUUUGAACCGCAUGGUUCAAAAGUGAAAGACGGUCUUGCUGUCACUUAUAGAUGGAUCCGCGCUGCAUUAGCUAGUUGGUAAGGUAACGGCUUACCAAGGCAACGAUGCAUAGCCGACCUGAGAGGGUGAUCGGCCACACUGGAACUGAGACACGGUCCAGACUCCUACGGGAGGCAGCAGUAGGGAAUCUUCCGCAAAGGGCGAAAGCCUGACGGAGCAACGCCGAGUGAGUGAUGAAGGUCUUCGGAUCGUAAAACUCUGUUAUUAGGGAAGAACAUAUGUGUAAGUAACUGUGCACAUCUUGACGGUACCUAAUCAGAAAGCCACGGCUAACUACGUG
rnacentral:rRNA from 1 species